AGCGCGGUAGGGGAGUUCGGCCGUCCCCGCGGGCCUCAUGAGCCCGAGACCGCCGGUUCGAAUCCGGCCCGCGCCACC
rnacentral:tRNA from 1 species